UACAGAGGUCUCAAGCGUUUGUUCGGAUUCAUUGGGCGUAAAGGGUGCGUAGGCGGCGCGGUAAGUCGGGUGUGAAAUCUUGGAGCUUAACUCCGAAACUGCAUUCGAUACUGCCGUGCUUGAGGACUGGAGAGGAGACUGGAAUUUACGGUGUAGCGGUGAAAUGCGUAGAUAUCGUAAGGAAGACCAGUGGCGAAGGCGGGUCUCUGGACAGUUCCUGACGCUGAGGCACGAAGGCCCAGGGGGAGCAAACAGG
rnacentral:rRNA from 1 species